rnacentral:rRNA from 1 species
UACGUAGGGACCAAGGGUUGUUCGGAUUUACUGGGCGUAAAGGGCGCGUAGGCGGCUUGACAAGUCACUUGUGAAAUCUCCGGGCUUAACUCGGAACGGCCAAGUGAAACUGUCAUGCUAGAGUGCAGAAGGGGCAAUCGGAAUUCUUGGUGUAGCGGUGAAAUGCGUAGAUAUCAAGAGGAACACCUGAGGUGAAGACGGGUUGCUGGGCUGACACUGACGCUGAGGCGCGAAAGCCAGGGGAGCAAACGGG